UACGUAGGGACCAAGCGUUGUUCGGAUUUACUGGGCGUAAAGGGCGCGUAGGCGGCUUAACAAGUCACUUGUGAAAUCUCCGGGCUUAACUCGGAACGGCCAAGUGAAACUGUCAAGCUAGAGUGCAGAAGGGGCAAUCGGAGUUCUUGGUGUAGCGGUGAAAUGCGUAGAUAUCGGGAGGAACACCAGUGGCGAAGGCGACUACCUGGCCUGUUCUUGACGCUGAGGCGCGAAAGCUAGGGGAGCAAACGGG
rnacentral:rRNA from 1 species